rnacentral:lncRNA from 1 species
GCUUUCAUAUUUAUGUUGCUAUCAAAAUGACCUGUGUUGCUUUCAAAGUGACAUGUGUUGCUUUCAAAGUGACCUGUGUUGCUUUCAUAUUUAUGUUGCUAUCAAAAUGACCUGUGUUGCUUUCAUAUUUAUGUUGCUAUCAAAAUGACCUGUGUUGCUUUCAAAAUGACCAGUGUUGCUUUCAAAGUGACCAGUGUUGCUUUCAUAUUCAAAAUGCGAUGCACCAGACAUGGUGAUGGGUACGUUUCCUGUCAACUCUGUACCAGCCUCAAUUCUGUUUGAUUCAGGUGCAUCGCAUUCCUUUGUCACUAAGCCAUUUGUUGAUAAAAGUGGUAUGAAAUGCAACCGUUUGGUCAAUACUAUGCUAGUACAAAUACCUGGUGAUAGUACCAAGGCCAACCUUGCUUGCAAUAAUGUGCCCAUUGAUAUUGAAGGGAAAACUUUUCAUGCUGAUCUUAUAGUAUUGGGAUCCCAAGGGAUAGAAGUAGUACUUGGUAUGAAUUGGAUGACCUGGUAUAAAGGAGUCAUUGACUGCACCAAAAAGUCCAUUAGCAUGACCAGUAGUGAUGGAGAAGAGAUCACUUACACUGCAACCAAACCUUCUUCGAAGGUCCAUUGCCAUGCAAGUAUAGCCAACCCUACCCUUGAGCAAGUACCUAAGGUAUGUGAA